rnacentral:rRNA from 1 species
AAUGAACGCUGGCGGCAUGCCUAACACAUGCAAGUCGAACGAAACGUCCGGGUCUUGUGUCGCAAGGGGGCGUAAGGCGUGGGAAGCUGCACUUAGGUUCGGAAUAACGUACCGAAGGGGGUGCUAGUGCCGGUUAAUGUCUUCGGACCAAUGAUUUAUCGACGUUGGAUGGGCCCGCGUUGUAUUAGCUUGUUGGUAGGGUUAAAGCCUACUAAGGCGACGAUCCAUAGAUGGUCUGAGAGGAUGAUCAGCCACACUGGGACUGGGACACGGCCCAGACUCCUACGGGAGGCGGGAGUGGGGAAUAUUGGACGAUAGGCGGAAGCAUGAACGAGCCGUGCCGCGUGAGUGCUGAAGGCCUUAAAGUUGUAAAGCUCAUUUACCCAGGAUGAUAAUGACGGUACCGGGAGAAUAAGCACCGGCUAACUCCGUG